rnacentral:tRNA from 1 species
CAAGACGUAGCUAACCCCUAAAGCAUUCAGCUUACACCUGAAAGAUACCUCCAUAAGCGAGGUCGCCUUGA